GACGAACGCUGGCGGCGUGCUUAACACAUGCAAGUCGAACGAAGAGCGACGGAAGCUUGCUUCUAUCAAUCUUAGUGGCGAACGGGUGAGUAACGCGUAAUCAACCUGCCCUUCAGAGGGGGACAACAGUUGGAAACGACUGCUAAUACCGCAUACGAUCUAACCUCGGCAUCGAGGAUAGAUGAAAGGUGGCCUCUACAUGUAAGCUAUCACUGAAGGAGGGGAUUGCGUCUGAUUAGCUAGUUGGAGGGGUAACGGCCCACCAAGGCGAUGAUCAGUAGCCGGUCUGAGAGGAUGAACGGCCACAUUGGGACUGAGACACGGCCCAGACUCCUACGGGAGGCAGCAGUGGGGAAUCUUCCGCAAUGGACGAAAGUCUGACGGAGCAACGCCGCGUGAGUGAUGACGGCCUUCGGGUUGUAAAGCUCUGUUAAUCGGGACGAAAGGCCUUCUUGCGAAUAGUGAGAAGGGUUGACGGUACCGGAAUAGAAAGCCACGGCUAACUACGUG
rnacentral:rRNA from 1 species